AGCUGAGUGGCGCAGCGGAAGCGUAAGUUCUCACUUCGAGAAAUCUGUACCCAUGAACCGUACCUAACAUUCACACAGGCGCCGGGCUCAUAACCCGGAGGGCAAUGGAUCGAAACCAUUCUCAGCUA
rnacentral:tRNA from 1 species